UUUUUAAAGUCUGACCUGCCCACUGAAAUUAUUUAAAUGGCCGCAGUAUUCUAACUGUGCAAAGGUAGCAUAAUCAUUAGUCUUUUAAUUGAAGGCUGGUAUGAACGGUUGGACGAGGUAUAAGCUGUUUCAUAUAAAUUUAUAAUAGAAUUUUAUAUUUUAGUCAAAAAGCUAAAAUUUUAUUAAAAGACGAGAAGACCCUAUAAAUCUUUAUACUUUGUGUUGUUUAAAUUUUUUAGACUUAUUUUAUUUUUAUGACUUAAAGUAUUUUGUUGGGGUGAUAUUAAAAUUUGAUGAACUUUUAAUUGUUUAAGAUCAUUAAUUUAUGAUUUAUUGAUCCAUUAGUAGUGAUUAUAAGAUUAAGUUACUUUAGGGAUAACAGCGUAAUUUUUUUGGAGAGUUCUUAUCGAUAAAAAAGUUUGCGACCUCGAUGUUGGAUUAAGAUAUAUUUUUAGGUGUAGCCGCUUAAAU
rnacentral:rRNA from 1 species